CGCUGGCGGCACGCCUUAUACAUGCAAGUCGAACGAAGUAGUAAUACUUAGUGGCAGACGGGUGAGUAACAUGUAGGUAUCUUCCCUUUGGUGAGGAAUAACACGAGGAAACUUGUGCUAAUACCUCAUAAGUCUUUACAGAGAAAGCUUUAUGCGCCAGAGGAUGAGCCUGCACUUGAUUAGUUUGUUGGUGGGGUAAAAGCCUACCAAGACUGUGAUCAAUAGCUGAUCUGAGAGGAUGAUCAGCCACAUUGGGACUGAGACACGGCCCAAACUCCUACGGGAGGCAGCAGUAGGGAAUAUUGCACAAUGGAGGAAACUCUGAUGCAGCGAUGCCGCGUGAGUGAAGAAGGCCCUUGGGUUGUAAAGCUCUUUCGUCGGGGAAGAAAAUGACUGUACCCGAAUAAGAAGGUCCGGCUAACUUCGUGCCAGCAGCCGCGGUAAUACGAAGGGACCUAGCGUAGUUCGGAAUUACUGGGCUUAAAGAGUUCGUAGGUUGUUAAAAAAGUUGGUGGUGAAAUCCCAGAGCUUAACUCUGGAACUGCCAUCAAAACUUUUUAGCUAGAGUAUGAUAGAGGAAAGCAGAAUUUCUAGUGUAGAGGUGAAAUUCGUAGAUAUUAGAAAGAAUACCAAUUGCGAAGGCAGCUUUCUGGAUCAUUACUGACACUGAGGAACGAAAGCAUGGGUAGCGAAGAGGAUUAGAUACCCUCGUAGUCCAUGCCGUAAACGAUGUGUGUUAGACGUUGGAAAUUUAUUUUCAGUGUCGCAGCGAAAGCAUUAAACACACCGCCUGGGGAGUACGACCGCA
rnacentral:rRNA from 1 species